rnacentral:ncRNA from 1 species
AUAAUUUUAUUCUGGUUAUUUAGUUAGUUUUUAGAUAAUUUAUACAUGCUAGUUUUGGCGGGAUAUUAAUUUUCCUAAAUGGUUUAUUUUUUAUAUAAUAAUUCGCAGUUUUUAUUUUUAUUUUAUUUAAUGUUUUAUGAUUUAUUUAUUUUAUUUAUAACUAGUUAAAACUGUGCCAGCAACUGCGGUUAUACAGUUAGUUAAAAUUAAUUUUUUUGAGCUAUUUGUAUUGAUUAUUAAUGGGUUUGUAAUUGCAUGGUUUAGUUUUAUAUUUUAGGUGAAAUUUAAUUUUUAUUAUCUUAUGCUUAGUUUUAUGUUAAAAUUAUACGAUACUCUUGUUGUAAACUAGGAUUAGAUACCCUAUUAUUAAGAGUGUAAAUUUAUUGCUUAUAUUAUUAUUAGUUUUGGUCUUUAAAUUAAAAGAAUUUGACGGUAAUUAUAUCAUUUCAGAGGAACCUGUCCUGUAAUUGAUAAUCCACGUUAAAUUUUACCUUAUUUUUGGUUUGUAUAUCUCUGUCUAUAGAAUGUCUUAUGAGAGUAUUUUCGAUCUUGUUUUGUUAAAUUUUAUGUCAGGUCAAGGUGCAGCUAUAGUAGGGGUGGAGAUGGGUUACAUUUAUUUGUAAUUAUGGAUCUAUAUAUGUAUUUAUAUAAUGAAAUAGGAUUUGAUUGUAAUAUUUAUUAUAUUUUAUUUAUGAUAUUUGCUCUGUAUUAAGUACACAUCGCCCGUCGCUCUCAUUGUUUAAGAUGAGAUAAGUCGUAACAAAGUAGGCCUAUCGGAAGGUGGGCCUGGAAUGAUUU